GGGGCUAUAGCUCAGCUGGGAGAGCGCCUGCCUUGCACGCAGGAGGUCAGCGGUUCGAUCCCGCUCAGCUCCA
rnacentral:tRNA from 1 species